AGAAAGGGGAGAAGAGAAAAGAGAGGAGAAAAGAAGAAAGGAAAAAGAGAAGAGGAAAGAAGAGGAAAAAGAGGAGGAAAGAUAGAAGAGGAAAGAGAGAGAAAAUUCAGUGAGCCUCACAUAUUGUAAACUCUAAAGUUGUAGCCCUAUUAUUUUAUAUAGUGAAAAAGUUACUGCUGCUACUCUCCGAGGACGUAGGCAUAGCCGAACCUCGUAAAUGUUGUGUCUCAUCUACUUUACGUGCAGCUCAAUAUUCAUACAUAUUCCAGGUUAUUUUUAUAACACGUUAUCAGCACGAGAAGCUCUCAGGUAUAAUUUUUGUGCUGCACUAUUAUCUAUACUACUAACCACUAACAAAAAUGGACCCUUGGUAAUACUAAACCUAUUAUCAGUGGGAGACCGUUACUAAUACUAACUUUUUCUUAUUUUAUUAGGUGGUGGUUUUAACCCCACAUUUAUUUACUGUAUGGUGUAGGUUUAUUACCCAUACAUGCCACCUUUACUUUAUCGUCUACGCCUUUGCUUUUAUUUAAAUGUAUGGAGCAGAAUUAGUGCCCAUACAAGCACAAUUUACUUUACCGCACAUUUAAUUUAUUUAAAGUAUGGUGCGGGAUUAACGUUCAUACAGCAAGCAAUUUAAUUUAUGAAUUUAAUUUACCGCACAUUUAUAUUUAUUUAAAAGGGUGGUGCGGGUUUAUCGUCCACGCCUUUAUUUUUAUUUAAAUGUAUGGAGCAGAAUUAAUGCCCAUACAAGCACCUUAACUUUAUGAAUUUAAUUUACCGCACAUUUACAUUUAUUUAAAGUGUGGUGCGGGUUUAUCGUCCAUACCAGUAAUUUAUUUAUCAGCAAUUUAUUUUAUGGAUUAAUUGUGCUGUAUGAUGAGUUUUUCCAGUAUUCAGAUCAGGACCAGAAGUUCCUUGAUCCUCAUCAUACAAUUACAUCAGGACUUGAAGAUCCUUGAUGAUGAUAUGAGAGCUGGCAGUCUCUCCGGUACUGUAUUUGUAAACAUGUGAUUGGACUUAAAGGUCCUUGAUC
rnacentral:lncRNA from 1 species